rnacentral:rRNA from 1 species
UACGGGGGGGGCAAGCGUUGUUCGGAAUUACUGGGCGUAAAGGGCGCGUAGGCGGCCUGCUAAGUCGGACGUGAAAUCCCUCGGCUCAACCGAGGAACUGCGUCCGAUACUGGUGGGCUUGAAUCCGGGAGAGGGAUGUGGAAUUCCAGGUGUAGCGGUGAAAUGCGUAGAUAUCUGGAGGAACACCGGUGGCGAAGGCGGCAUCCUGGACCGGUAUUGACGCUGAGGUGCGAAAGCCAGGGGAGCGAACGGG